AGACCGAUAGCGAACAAGUAGAGUGAUCGAAAGAUGAAAAGCACUUUGAAAAGAGAGUUAAACAGUACGUGAAAUUGUUGAAAGGGAAGCGCUGGCAACCAGACUUGCGCGUCGGGGUUCCCCCUUGCUUCUGCUUGGGCUACUCCCCGGCGCUCAGGCCAACAUCGGUUUCGGGGGUUGGUUAAAGGCCCUGGGAAUGUACCUACCCUCCGGGGUAGACUUAUAGCCCAGGGUGUCAUGCGACCUCCCGGGACCGAGGAACGCGCUUCGGCUCGGAUGUUGGCGUAAUGGYUGUCAGCGACCCGUCUUGAAACACGGACCAAG
rnacentral:rRNA from 1 species